ACGUGUCGCGAUGGAUGACUUG
rnacentral:rRNA from 1 species